rnacentral:rRNA from 1 species
AUUGAACGCUGGCGGCAGGCCUAACACAUGCAAGUCGAGCGGAUGACGGGAGCUUGCUCCUUGAUUCAGCGGCGGACGGGUGAGUAAUGCCUAGGAAUCUGCCUGGUAGUGGGGGACAACGGUUCGAAAGGAACGCUAAUACCGCAUACGUCCUACGGGAGAAAGCAGGGGACCUUUGGGCCUUGCGCUAUCAGAUGAGCCUAGGUCGGAUUAGCUAGUUGGUGGGGUAAUGGCUCACCAAGGCGACGAUCCGUAACUGGUCUGAGAGGAUGAUCAGUCACACUGGAACUGAGACACGGUCCAGACUCCUACGGGAGGCAGCAGCGGGGAAUAUUGGACAAUGGGCGAAAGCCUGGUCCAGCCAUGCCGCGUGUGUGAAGAAGGUCUUCGGAUUGUAAAGCACUUUAAGUUGGGAGGAAGGGCAGUAAGCUAAUACCUCGCUGUUUUGACGUUACCGACAGAAUAAGCACCGGCUAACUCUGUGCCAGCCGCCGCGGUAACAC